rnacentral:rRNA from 1 species
AGAGUUUGAUCCUGGCUCAGAAUCAACGCUGGCGGCGUGCCUCAGACAUGCAAGUCGAACGAUUAAACUUUUCUUCGGGAAAGAUAUAAAGUGGCGCACGGGUGAGUAACACGUAGGUAAUGUGCCUUUGGGUGGGGAAUAACUUAGGGAAACUUAAGCUAAUACCGCAUAAUGCGAUAACUUCUUCGGAAGAUUUUGUUAAAGAUUUAUCGCCUGAAGAGCAGCCUGCGGCAGAUUAGCUAGUUGGUAAGGUAACGGCUUACCAAGGCGACGAUCUGUAUCCGACCUGAGAGGGUGGUCGGACACACUGACACUGAAUAACGGGUCAGACUCCUACGGGAGGCAGCAGUCGGGAAUUUUGGGCAAUGGGCGAAAGCCUGACCCAGCAACGCCGCGUGAAGGAUGAAGUCUUUCGGGAUGUAAACUUCGUAAGAAUAGGAAGAAUAAAUGACGGUACUAUUUGUAAGGUCCGGCUAACUACGUGCCAGCAGCCGCGGUAAUACGUAGGGACCAAGCGUUGUUCGGAUUUACUGGGCGUAAAGGGCGCGUAGGCGGCGUGUCAAGUCAAUUGUGAAAUCUCCGGGCUUAACCCGGAACGGUCAAUUGAUACUGAUGUG